UAUUCUACCCCACGGGGAAGGAUGAGAAGCUUCGACCAAGGUUCGACUCGAGCGCAGCGAGAGAACGUUGCCGCAGGCAACGGCCCGAAGGGCGAGGCGCUUUAGCGCCGAGUUAUCCUUCCCCCACCACCA
rnacentral:sRNA from 1 species